rnacentral:lncRNA from 1 species
GCAUUGUUGGUGCUCUGAGGGUGUCAGCCAGGCCACUCAUGCAGACCAUUGCGGCAGCACUGAAAAUGGAAGAAAGAUGGGAUUCUGCUGUCUUUUGUUUUGGCUGAUGAACAGCACCGAGAUGGAGUGGCGUUCAACACAAGUCAUUGGUUGGGAGUAGAGGGCACUCUGCAUGGUCGUCUGGAACCAGGGUUUGCCUACAUGAUGGGUCUCCAUUUGCCACCGGCCUUGGACGU